AGCCCCGUGGUGUAGUGCACAUUAGAUUGCAAAUCUAAAAGCGUGGAAUAAGCCCUGCCGGGGCUU
rnacentral:tRNA from 1 species